UACGGGGGGGGCAAGCGUUGUUCGGAAUUACUGGGCGUAAAGGGCUCGUAGGCGGCCAACUAAGUCAGACGUGAAAUCCCUCGGCUUAACCGGGGAACUGCAUCUGAUACUGGCGAGCUUGAGUGCAGGAGAGGAACGCGGAAUUCCAGGUGUAGCGGUGAAAUGCGUAGAUAUCUGGAGGAACACCGGUGGCGAAGGCGGCGUUCUGGACUGUAACUGACACUGAGAAACGAAAGCCAGGGUAGCAAACGGG
rnacentral:rRNA from 1 species